GACGAAAAUAAACUAUUCAUAUUCGUACCUGAAACCACAGCAUGAUGCUUACCUACAAAAAACAUUCAUAAAGCGUCUUUUGUCGUCUACCCAGCGUCGGAAUCCAGAUGUCCACAACCGGAAAAAUUUGCCACCGUGAGAACUGAUCAACAAGGGGAUUUAAAUUUUUGUGAUUGCAUAUCAACAAGUGGACCAUAAAUUUUUGUAGAUGAUUCUGAUAAUAGCUCGAAUUUGAAGUGUAGUAAUAUGUGAUUUUUGAUCAUUUAAGUUACGAAUUUGUAAUUAAUUUUCUAUACAAAAUGAUUUGUUUUGUAUAAAAAUGUUAUAAAAAAUUAACAUUAUGGGGAACUUUGAGCCACAUGCGAUGACACUAAUAGUUAUUUCAGCAUCUAUUUAUGAUCACGUAUAACUGUCUACAAAUAAUUAAUUCCUGUAACAUAACAUAACUGCGUAUGUUGCACUUUUUAAAACAUUUCACUACGGAUUCGAAAUUUUCCCUUCGAAAUGAAGUUUUGUCAGGUGCAUGUUUCGCCCUUCUGGCCUGCCGACCUUGGGAAUGUGAGCACUUACACCAAUCAGAACGCCUGUCCUUUCCAUGUGACCAAUCAGAUACCGUUUUACUGCACAGUCUGUCCAGGGUCAACAAAUCUUCGCAGCUUUGGUAAAACAGCCGACUUCGAGCAGCCAUAUUGAAGCAGCCUAUCACUGUUGUGCAGCUAUUAUAAAUUACAUAAAAAUCUCGAGUGUCAAAGAGUGUCUAAAUAAAUUGACUGUUUAUUUAUUAUCUACGUAAUAUAAGUAUUUAUGUGAAUCGAUGUGUGAGUGGAACAUUUCUUGAAUUCCAUAAACUUGGUGUGUUUUGGUGCCGUUGAUUAACAGGACCUUGAAAACUAAUGGAUUGCACGAUUGAAGGGAAUGUGUAGAGGAACUGAUUCAGAAUGCCGGCAACUUGUUCAGGUGAGUCCCGGUGCUUGCGAAAGUUUUCCUGGCGAACCAAAUCUUUGAUUACAUCGGUAAAUAGGAAUUACCAAAGAAUGAAUCUUGAUAACCACGAAAGCUGGCCUAAGUGACAGCAGUUCAUUGGGCAGUGAUUGAUUAAGGUAGUUUACAACACGCGUGUUCUGAUAGGUUGUAGUCGGAGAACUUGUUAUAUGCCUACAUCAGUAUACAUGACUUUCUGAUAUUCUCUUGUUAAAAGUUUUGUGGUUUUUUAUUCCUAAGUCCUGAUUUGUAAACACAUUUUUAAAAAGGAUUACACAUAUUUAAAUGUUAUGGUGUGUAACUUUUAAACAUCUGAUUUUUAGGAAA